rnacentral:rRNA from 1 species
UACGGAGGGGCAAGCGUUGUUCGGAAUUACUGGGCGUAAAGGGCGCGUAGGCGGCCUUCUAAGUCGAACGUGAAAUCCCCGGGCUCAACCCGGGAACUGCGUCCGAUACUGGAAGGCUUGAAUCCGGGAGAGGGAUGCGGAAUUCCGAGGUGUAGCGGUGAAAUGCGUAGGAUAUCUGGAAGGAACACCGGUGGCGAAGG